rnacentral:tRNA from 1 species
GCUGAUGUUGCUUAAUUGGGUAAAGCAGUCGCCUUGUAAGCGUCAGAGUGUAGGUUCGAGUCCUAUCGUCAGCUCCA